rnacentral:rRNA from 1 species
AGAGUUUGAUCCUGGCUCAGAUUGAACGCUGGCGGCAGGCCUAACACAUGCAAGUCGAACGGUAACAGGAAGAAGCUUGCUUCUUUGCUGACGAGUGGCGGACGGGUGAGUAAUGUCUGGGAAACUGCCUGAUGGAGGGGGAUAACUACUGGAAACGGUAGCUAAUACCGCAUAACGUCGCAAGACCAAAGAGGGGGACCUUCGGGCCUCUUGCCAUCGGAUGUGCCCAGAUGGGAUUAGCUAGUAGGUGGGGUAACGGCUCACCUAGGCGACGAUCCCUAGCUGGUCUGAGAGGAUGACCAGCCACACUGGAACUGAGACACGGUCCAGACUCCUACGGGAGGCAGCAGUGGGGAAUAUUGCACAAUGGGCGCAAGCCUGAUGCAGCCAUGCCGCGUGUAUGAAGAAGGCCUUCGGGUUGUAAAGUACUUUCAGCGGGGAGGAAGGGAGUAAAGUUAAUACCUUUGCUCAUUGACGUUACCCGCAGAAGAAGCACCGGCUAACUCCGUGCCAGCAGCCGCGGUAAUACGGAGGGUGCAAGCGUUAAUCGGAAUUACUGGGCGUAAAGCGCACGCAGGCGGUUUGUUAAGUCAGAUGUGAAAUCCCCGGGCUCAACCUGGGAACUGCAUCUGAUACUGGCAAGCUUGAGUCUCGUAGAGGGGGGUAGAAUUCCAGGUGUAGCGGUGAAAUGCGUAGAGAUCUGGAGGAAUACCGGUGGCGAAGGCGGCCCCCUGGACGAAGACUGACGCUCAGGUGCGAAAGCGUGGGGAGCAGACAGGAUUAGAUACCCUGGUAGUCCACGCCGUAAACGAUGUCGACUUGGAGGUUGUGCCCUUGAGGCGUGGCUUCCGGAGCUAACGCGUUAAGUCGACCGCCUGGGGAGUACGGCCGCAAGGUUAAAACUCAAAUGAAUUGACGGGGGCCCGCACAAGCGGUGGAGCAUGUGGUUUAAUUCGAUGCAACGCGAAGAACCUUACCUGGUCUUGACAUCCACGGAAGUUUUCAGAGAUGAGAAUGUGCCUUCGGGAACCGUGAGACAGGUGCUGCAUGGCUGUCGUCAGCUCGUGUUGUGAAAUGUUGGGUUAAGUCCCGCAACGAGCGCAACCCUUAUCCUUUGUUGCCAGCGGUCCGGCCGGGAACUCAAAGGAGACUGCCAGUGAUAAACUGGAGGAAGGUGGGGAUGACGUCAAGUCAUCAUGGCCCUUACGACCAGGGCUACACACGUGCUACAAUGGCGCAUACAAAGAGAAGCGACCUCGCGAGAGCAAGCGGACCUCAUAAAGUGCGUCGUAGUCCGGAUUGGAGUCUGCAACUCGACUCCAUGAAGUCGGAAUCGCUAGUAAUCGUGGAUCAGAAUGCCACGGUGAAUACGUUCCUCGGGCCUUGCACACACCGCCCGUCA